rfam:Zea mays cultivar B73 chromosome 1, whole genome shotgun sequence.
AUACCUUUCUCAACCUUUUGGCUAAGAUCAAGUGUAGUAUCUGUUCUUAUCAGUUUAAUAUCUUAUAUGUGAACCAUGUGUUCACUUUGAUAUUAAAUUUAUUUUUUGUAGGGGAGACUCACCACAGUGGCUUGCCACUGGAGUUUUCACGUGUCGCACGGGCGUUGCACUACAGCCCGUACGUGCCUGGCGCGCCCCAA